rnacentral:tRNA from 1 species
UAGGGAUUAUCAUAUUAUAAUGUUUUUGUUUUCGGCACAAAAUAAGGGAUUUUUACUCAUCUCUAU